AGAGUUUGAUCCUGGCUCAGGAUGAACGCUGGCGGCGUGCUUAACACAUGCAAGUCGAACGGGAAACCUUUUAUUGAAGCUUCGGCAGAUUUAGAUUGUUUCUAGUGGCGGACGGGUGAGUAACGCGUGGGUAACCUGCCUUAUACAGGGGGAUAACAGUCAGAAAUGACUGCUAAUACCGCAUAAGCGCACAGAGCUGCAUGGCUCGGUGUGAAAAACUCCGGUGGUAUAAGAUGGACCCGCGUUGGAUUAGCUAGUUGGUGAGGUAACGGCCCACCAAGGCGACGAUCCAUAGCCGGCCUGAGAGGGUGAACGGCCACAUUGGGACUGAGACACGGCCCAGACUCCUACGGGAGGCAGCAGUGGGGAAUAUUGCACAAUGGGGGAAACCCUGGUGCAGCGACGCCGCGUGAAGGAAGAAGUAUCUCGGUAUGUAAACUUCUAUCAGCAGGGAAGAAAAUGACGGUACCUGACUAAGAAGCCCCGGCUAACUACGUGCCAGCAGCCGCGGUAAAACGUAGGUCACAAGCGUUGUCCGGAAUUACUGGGUGUAAAGGGAGCGCAGGCGGGAAGACAAGUUGGAAGUGAAAUCCAUGGGCUUAACCCAUGAACUGCUUUCAAAACUGUUUUUCUUGAGUAGUGCAGAGGUAGGCGGAAUUCCCGGUGUAGCGGUGGAAUGCGUAGAUAUCGGGAGGAACACCAGUGGCGAAGGCGGCCUACUGGGCACCAACUGACGCUGAGGCUCGAAAGUGUGGGUAGCAAACAGGAUUAGAUACCCUGGUAGUCCACACCGUAAACGAUGAUUACUAGGUGUUGGAGGAUUGACCCCUUCAGUGCCGCAGUUAACACAAUAAGUAAUCCACCUGGGGAGUACGACCGCAAGGUUGAAACUCAAAGGAAUUGACGGGGGCCCGCACAAGCAGUGGAGUAUGUGGUUUAAUUCGACGCAACGCGAAGAACCUUACCAAGUCUUGACAUCCUGUGACAGACGUAGAAAUACGUUCUUCCUUCGGGACACAGAGACAGGUGGUGCAUGGUUGUCGUCAACUCGUGUCGUGAGAUGUUGGGUUAAGUCCCGCAACGAGCGCAACCCUUAUGGUCAGUUACUACGCAAGAGGACUCUGGCCAGACUGCCGUUGACAAAACGGAGGAAGGUGGGGAUGACGUCAAAUCAUCAUGCCCUUUAUGACUUGGGCUACACACGUACUACAAUGGCGUUAAACAAAGAGAAGCAAGACCGCGAGGUGGAGCAAAACUCAGAAACAACGUCCCAGUUCGGACUGCAGGCUGCAACUCGCCUGCACGAAGUCGGAAUUGCUAGUAAUCGUGGAUCAGCAUGCCACGGUGAAUACGUUCCCGGGCCUUGUACACACCGCCCGUCACACCAUGAGAGCCGGGGGGACCCGAAGUCGGUAGUCUAACCGCAAGGAGGACGCCGCCGAAGGUAAAACUGGUGAUUGGGGUGAAGUCGUAACAAGGU
rnacentral:rRNA from 1 species